rnacentral:rRNA from 1 species
UACGUAGGGAGCGAGCGUUGUCCGAAGUUACUGGGCGUAAAGCGCACGUAGGCGGCUUUCUAAGUCGGGGGUGAAAUCCUGGAGCUCAACUCCAGAACUGCCUUCGAUACUGGAGAGCUCGAGUCCGGGAGAGGUGAGUGGAACUGCGAGUGUAGAGGUGAAAUUCGUAGAUAUUCGCAAGAACACCAGUGGCGAAGGCGGCUCACUGGCCCGGUACUGACGCUGAGGUGCGAAAGCGUGGGGAGCAAACAGG